rnacentral:sRNA from 1 species
GCUGGGCAUGGUGGCGCACACCUGUAAUUCCAGCAGCUUGGGAGGCUGAGGCAGGAGGAUCACAAGUUCAAAGGCAGCCUCAUCAAAAGCGAGGCACUAAGCAACUCAGUAAGUCCCUGUCUCAA